rnacentral:rRNA from 1 species
AGCGAACGCUGGCGGCAGGCUUAACACAUGCAAGUCGAACGCUCGUAGCAAUACGGGAGUGGCAGACGGGUGAGUAACGCGUGGGAACAUGCCCUUUGGUUCGGAAUAACUCAGGGAAACUUGAGCUAAUACCGGAUAAGCCCUUAUGGGGAAAGGUUUACUGCCGAAGGAUCGGCCCGCGUCUGAUUAGCUAGUUGGUGAGGUAAUGGCUCACCAAGGCGACGAUCAGUAGCUGGUCUGAGAGGAUGAUCAGCCACACUGGGACUGAGACACGGCCCAGACUCCUACGGGAGGCAGCAGUGGGGAAUAUUGGACAAUGGGGGCAACCCUGAUCCAGCCAUGCCGCGUGAGUGAUGAAGGCCUUAGGGUUGUAAAGCUCUUUUACCCGGGACGAUGAUGACUGUACCGGGAGAAUAAGCCCCGGCUAACUUCGUGCCAGCCGCCGCAGUAA